rnacentral:lncRNA from 1 species
AUGCUCUUAACUUCGGAGCCAGGAGGGGCUCCCACUGCAAUAAGGCACAAUCUCAGGAGUGUCUGGAGAGAGGACAGCACCAUUAGGUGUGCUGAAUGCCGCCACUUUGGGUUCAGACAAGGAUUCUCACAGGGAUUUUUGAAUAAACUAAUGAAGUUUCAAACCACCUGAGAACUACAAGAUAUCCAUCUGGAAUGGAAAGAGGUAAAAAUGACCCUGAAGACUUUAGCAAUCCAACAACUACUGAAAUUUACAUAUAUUUUUACAUGUAAUGGGUAUAUUACAGAAGAGUUUGAAUAAAUAUCCAUAAGAGAGUUUACCAUAAUUGACCUUUUAUUUUAAAAAAUUACAGGGAGCGAUUUCCAGCAUAUCUUAUUUUAUAAAAGUACUGCCCAUAUCAAACAUUUUAUAUCACUGUUAAUUCCAUUGAAGAGCUGCCAUUUUUUUUAAAGUACUAAUUCCAAUUGAUGGGGUGCAUGCCCUUAAAAUAGAAAGUUUCCAUUUAUUCAAAUUUCAAAAUUAAGAUUACUGAGAAGUUUAUUGCUUUAUGGCUGGGAAAGAUGCUACUAGCACAUUUCAGGUAAAUAAUAUUCUUUGUUAAAAACUAUGAGGUCAUUCAGUUUAAAACUUUCAGGAUAAUUCACAGAAAAUAGAUAUAUUUCUUCAAAUUAUACAUUGAGGGGCUGGGCUAUUAGCUAUAGACAUUUAUAUGUGAAGCAGCUCUUUAAAGAAAUAAGCUACACAAACAGGCCUGUCUUGGUUUAAUACGCAUAAAUGAAAUUAAUAAAACCUGGAAGACCAAUACUGUUACGCUAUGUUCUGUUAGGACCUUUUUAAAAAAUCACACAUUUAGUAGUCCAUUUGUGCUUAAAAUAUUCAUAUGCAUGAGAAGCUUAAAGAAAAAAAUACCCCUGUACAUGAUGAUGAAAAGAAAGUAAUAAAUUUUUUGAAAUUGCACUGUUAUUUAAAACACUUUCCUAAAUUCAGACCCUCCUUUGCA